UACGAAGGGGCUAGCGUUGCUCGGAUUGACUGGGCGUAAAGAGCUCGUAGGCGGCUUGUCGCGUCGGCUGUGAAAACUCGGGGCUCAACCCCGAGCCUGCAGUCGAUACGGGCAGGCUGGAGUCCGGCAGGGGAGACUGGAAUUCCUGGUGUAGCGGUGAAAUGCGCAGAUAUCAGGAGGAACACCGGUGGCGAAGGCGGCUCACUGGCCCGGUACUGACGCUGAGGUGCGAAAGCGUGGGGAGCAAACAGG
rnacentral:rRNA from 1 species